AGCUCCUCGAGUGGUUGGGACGAUUAUUGGGCCUAAAGCGUCCGUAGCCGGCUGGAAAAGUUCCCCGUAAAAUCCAACGAUCCAAUCGUUGGCUCGCGGAGAAUACUUUCCGGCUUGGGGGCGGGGGAGGUCGGCGGUAGUCCCGGGGUAGGGGCGAAACAACGAACAAAUCGUUUCGCAGUCUUAUAAUCCCGGGAGGACCACCAGUGGCGAAGGCGGCCGACUAAAACGCGCCCGACGGUGAGGGACGAAAGCUGGGGGAGCGAACG
rnacentral:rRNA from 1 species